GUUGAUGCCUGUAUUUUAUUCAAUCAGUCGUUGUCUUUUAAUUGGUAGACCAUUUAUAUUUAGUGAUACUUGAUAGAGUUGGAUUAAUAUUUCCCAUAUAUUAAUUGUUUUCUGUUUGUUGCCCUUGUAAUUAUUUCCCUUUUUUGUCCUCCCCUCUUCAUAUGGUUUGGCUCUGUGCCCCUACCCAAAUCUCACGUGGAAUUGUAAUCCCCAUAAUCCCCACCUGUUGAGAGAGGGACUUGGUGGGAGGUGAUUGGGUCAUGUGGGUGGUUUUCCCCAUGCUGUUCUCGUGAUAGUGAGUGAGUUCUCACAAGAUCCCAUGGUUUUAUAAGGGGCUCUUCCCGCUUUGCUUCCUCUCACCUGCUGCCAUGUACAACAUGCCUUUGCUUCUCCUUCGCCUUCUGCCAUGAUUCUAAGCUUCCUGAGGCCUCCCCAGCCAUGCAGAACUGUGAGUCAAACCUCUUUCCUUUAUAAAUUAC
rnacentral:lncRNA from 1 species